AACCGGUCAGGGCCUGAUCUCGCUUUUGGUUUUAGAUUUGGGUCUCCUCCUCUCUAUUAUUAAAGACCUUAAAGACCAGAUUGAGAGGUCUUUUUGAGGGGUUUGUGGAUCUGUGUCUGUUUUUUGAAGUUUGUGGUGUAUGGUGGGGUUGAUUGGGCUAUAUAAUGGGUGUUCAGAAGAAGGGGAGGUGGGGUCUAAGGUGGUAAAUUUCUGUAAGGCCUCCAUGAGGCAGGAGAGGAAGAGAGCUGGGUAUUCAUCAGGGCCUUGAGUAAUUUUAUUGUUUGUUAUAGUUGACCACCAUAUGGGCAGCCUUUUUUAUUUCAGAGAGGAAGGGAGAGGGAGAGAGAUAGAAACAUCAAUGAUGAGAGAGAAUCAUUGACCGGCUGACUCUUGCACGCCCACUACUGGAAUUUGAUCCUGCAAUCUGGGCAUGUGCCCUUGACCAAAAUCAAACACGGGACCCUUCAGUCUGCAGGCCAUUGCUCUACCCAAACCAGCUAGGGCUGGGCAGCCUUUUUGAGUCCAGGUGAUUAUAUGGCUACAGAGUUGGCACCCUGGAGAAUUAACCUGGUAGUCCCAUCUUGGGUCAGUUUGGGGGACUGUGUCAGCGCCAACCAGGUUGGCUGCUGAGUGUCUAUGGAGGGCAUUGGCAUGGUCUUGAGCUAUUAGCUAAACACCCUCCUUUCCCUCUGGCAUUAGAGAGAAGUACAGAAUGGCAUAGAUAUCGUGCCCAUAGGACUGGGUCAGAUAUUCAAAUUCCUUGGUAAAGGUGGUCAGGUUGGUAGAGAAAGACCCAAAACGCCUCUUAAUCUGUGUGAAGUCAGACCUGGAAAAUGGGAUGUGUAUCCGGACAAUACCCUCAGUUCCUGCUACCUCCCACAGCGGUAGAAUGGGUGCGGGAAUAGAAGUGGCUGUUGAGGAAGGUGUCGAGAGCCAGUGUUAGGUUGGAGAAGGCUGUUUUGGAACUCACAUUCUCAGAAUUUGGACUCUCAGAGGCUAGGGGAGAAGUUGGUUGCCAGUUAGGAGAGUCUGGGUUUUGGGAACCUACUGCAGGUGAGGGUGUAUAAAAGGAUGGAGGUUGGUGGUCUUCUGGGUCAAAAGUAGAUACAGAAUGAGAAAUGUGAGGGGUAUGAUGUUUUGUGUGAAGGAGAAGGAUCCGAUGGGUAGAGCAGGACUGAGAGAAAGGAUUGGGACUGAAGGUAAAAAAAGGUCUGGGCAUAGGGAGUCUCUGACCAUUUUCCAUGGCGCUCACAGCAAUUAUCUAAAUUGUGCAAUGUGCUAAAAUUGAAAGUGCCCUUUUAAGGCCCUUUUAAGGCCACUGAGACUUAUUAUUUAGUUUAUAUCUUGGCCAAACAGUGUUACAAAAGAAAAUGAGGUGCUUGGGCAUGAUCUCUCCCACGAGUGUGCAGAGGGAGUAUAGCGUGGCCCAUGAGAGAAGAGUGAGUGACAGACCACAAAUCCAAAGGUGGUUGUUUAGGGCAGGUGUCCCCGCUGCUAAACAAAUCACCACAAAAAAUGAGGGGUGACCCUCUGGACUGGGUGUCCCCAAUCCAGAAGGACCCAAAGCCAAUCAGCUGAGGAGUCUUCUGGCCUAGCCCUAGGACUUUUGAGAAGUCAGUGAGAGUGUGGGCAGAAGACUUUAGGUGAGGGAAAUUGUUGAACAUCACUCACCUAGAGAAGAUUGGCUGGUGUGGGAUGAAGGGUCAGCAAUGGAGAAGAGGUUCCUGAUCUGGCGUCCUCCCUGGCUGGUUUGGGAGGGCCCAUAAGAGAGGGGAGGAUUAAUUGAGGUCAGUGAUCAUGUCACUAGAGUAGGAUUCAGAGGUAAGCCCAGGACAAGCUGCUGCUGCCUACUGCUCUCUGAGUAGCAAACUCGGGGUGACCGAAGCCAGGGUGAUGGCUCCCCUUCCCUGUGGAACCCUCCUGGGUUUCCACACCAAAUGUUAGGGUCACCAAAGGAGGAAUGCAUGAGGCCAAAAAGGGUAAGGGACUAUAAAUUUAUUAGGUCAUCUGGAUACCAGGUGUGCUGAGCUCCUAAAUGGUGCCAGCACCCAGGGACAGGGAGUCAGAGAUUUUAAAGGACUCUAGGCCGGCUUUUUCUAGGUGGAGAAUUCUCUGGUCCAGAUUCUAGGAAGGUCCGGAGGGGAAGGAUAAUGGUCUUAGCAAGUGGAAUGCAAGUGAAAUGUCCAUUAUGUAGUGGUCUAAAGGUCAGUUUCCAGGGGAGGGGAUAUUGAUUAAAUUAUUUGAUCAGACCUAAUAGCCCUGCGGGGUAAGGUUCUUGUUUUCCCAGUUUUACCCCUUGCUAGGCACCCAGGACUUCUUGGCAUGGUGAGUUUCUGUACUUGGCCUAUCAUCCUUGUUUUGCUCAUCUCUGUCUAACCGACCACAAUGCUAGUUAGAACAAUUAGGAAAGAAAAAGAAAUAAAAGGCACCCAAAUCAGAAAGAAAGGAAAAUUGUCUCUAUUUGCAAUGAGAUGCUAUUAUAUAUA